rnacentral:ncRNA from 24 species
UAAAGUCUUCAGGGCAGGGUGAAAUUCCCGACCGGUGGUACAGUCCACGAAAGCAUUUGCUUUGAUUUGGUGAAAUUCCAAAACCGACAGUAGAGUCUGGAUGGGAGAAGAAUUAG